CUUGGGUUCCAGUUGCUUCCAUUUGAUGUCGGAGUCUUCAUACUUGGUCUUCUCCAAGGCAUGAGCAAUAGUACCCUGAAGAAAACAAUCCACCAGUUGAGUAAUUACUUACAGUUGAAAGCACAAAAUAUGUAUAGACAUUGACACAGUGCAUGAAUGUAUGUUCGCAUGUAUUUAUAUAGGCAUGCAUGCAUGUAAAAAGAAAUGUUAUAGAAAAAUUGGUAGUUUUCUUAGAAAGAAGACUACUGUAUAGUAAUGUAUAUAUCUGUUUGUGUGAAUGAUUCCAUAUAAAGAUAUCAGGAAGUGAACUGUUAUAAAUUGCAAGUGAGUUUUGAAGAAAUAAACUAUGUUUGAUUAAGUAACAAAGAUAUAAUUUAAGUUACAAGGCAUUGAAUUUUGUUGUCGAACCUGGGUAACACCAAGUUUUGUUGCCACUAGGGAUGCAACAGUGUUCCCAUCUGUGUAGUUUCCGAUGAUCAAGUCAGGUUUCCCAUCUAAAUGCUUGAGGAUCUCCACCGUAGAAUCCUACAUUUUGGUGGACAAGGCUUUCAAUAUUAGUAUUGUACAUAUGCACACACACACACGCAGACUUUUCAAAUUACAUACCUGAGCAAACCUCUCGAGGUAAGGGUAUACAUCAAAUCGUGAAACCCAUUGGCGUAAAACUCCCCUCUCUGUUCUAAAUGGUACUCUCAGAAUGUAACAGUGCUCGGUAUUGAGUAUGGGCUCCCAUUCUUGGUUGCAUUUUGUCCCCAUGGCUUCAUGAAUGAGUCGAGUGACCUUCAGAAAGCCAUCAGAAAUUUGACUUAAAUACUCUCAAAUGGUGAUAAAAGAAAGAAAAAACGACAAGUGAACUUACUUACCACAAGGAUUUGAGGUUUUACCGCCAAUCCUUGCUGUUUGUUUCUUUGCAACAAUUCCUCCUCAAGGGCUUUCACUUGAUCCAGUAUAUAAACAAUCUAGUAAAAGGAUCAUAUAUGUUAGUUUUCUCACUAAACUUUCUUCCUUUGGUCGACAUUUACCCAUCUUUUUUUACUAGAGUACGAGUCUGUGAAUUGGCAAAAUUGCGGGGAAGGAAAAAAUCAUCAAAUUUGUGGCCAGCUAUAGGCAUUUUCUCAUAGAUAAGGAAACUGGGUUAGCCUCCCAUAGCUACUUCUUAUUAGGCUCGUUGCGGACAUGUCCAAUUUUCCUUCAAUAGUCAUUUAAAUUUGAAGUUAAAAUUUGAUUUUCUCUAUCCAAUACGGAGAAGAGUUAAGAGGGUGGUUUCUACAAAAUAUGACUAGGGUGAAAUCUUAUCCGAGAGAAAAAACACUUCUUCCAAGUGAAAUUUAUGAAAGGAAAGAGAAAAAUCAUGCGAAGUUGUUGAGCUUCUUCAAGUCAUUUUCCAAAUCCUUCCUCAAGAAGAAAUUCUCCAAACUUAAUGCCCAUCUACAGUGAACCUGACAACUUGCUUUAGAGAAUGUGAUUCCAGUUUUCUCGCGUAUUUCCUCAAUGAGGUUAACCUUUCUUACAGGAUAGUUGCUUAGAUUGGUUCAUGUAAUUGCCUCGAAGAUUAAUGAAGUUUGAUUUGAAGUAUUCUCUUAGAAAUUAGAUCGUUGUACUUAUCAGUUCAUCGAGUUGUUGAAAUGAUACUGGCAUGUAGUAUUUGACUGCAAUUCGAGACAGUUGAGUGCUUAUUUUUAGUGUUUGGGAGAGAUCCGCAUUUCUGUACACUUAUCAUAGCAGAGCAAUUUGAUCUGAUAUAUAACAUAUACAAUCCUCAAUAAUCAGAUUUCAUGAAUUUCUAGGGCCAUUUUCGUUAUAAACUUCGUACAAGGAGAAAUUUACCUGACCACCAGUGUCUGGCAAGCCCAGAACAUUCGCUUGCCCAAAGUAGCCAUGAGGUGAGAAAACAACGACAUUGA
rnacentral:lncRNA from 1 species